rnacentral:lncRNA from 1 species
UUUCAUAGGUAUAACAGAUGUUGUCAUUUGCCUUAUAUCAUAACAUGUAUUGAAUGUUGUCUCUAGAAUGAUAUCAGUAUGGGCAUCAUUGUUAUUGUGACAUAGCUGAGUAUGACUCCAUGUUUGGUGAGAAGUUUUGCAGAGAAAAUCAUUUCUGAUACUUCUGAAUGUUUGUCACAGCAGCCUAUUCAGCUGUUGAUUGAUUUUAUUCUUAAUAAAGCCUCACAAAGCAUUAUCUGGAGUGCACAAGCAAGAGCUUAUUGGUGGCCAGGCCAAGGGAUCUGUGCUAUCUCUGAUCAAUGCCCAAUCCAUUUGUUUGAAAGCAAUUCAUUAAGCCAUUUUCAAAUUCUGAUAGCAAAAUGUGCAGAGACUCCAUGUUGUUGCAGGAUUACAGUACCUGCU